rnacentral:sRNA from 1 species
UUUGACUCCAAAACACUAAUCAAGCUUCUUCUUGCUUCUCAAAGCUUUGAUGGUGUAGUAGAAGUAAGUA